CCAGCGAAUUCGGUAGAGAUACCUUAGUGCCUUCGGGAACGCUGAGACAGGUGCUGCAUGGCUGUCGUCAGCUCGUGCUGUGAAAUGUUGGGUUAAGUCCCGCAACGAGCGCAACCCUUUAUCCUUUGUUGCCAGCGGUCCGGCCGGGAACUCAAAGGAGACUGCCAGUGAUAAACUGGAGGAAGGUGGGGAUGACGUCAAGUCAUCAUGGCCCUUACGAGUAGGGCUACACACGUGCUACAAUGGCGCAUACAAAGAGAAGCGACCUCGCGAGAGCAAGCGGACCUCAUAAAGUGCGUCGUAGUCCGGAUUGGAGUCUGCAACUCGACUCCAUGAAGUCGGAAUCGCUAGUAAUCGUAGAUCAGAAUGCUACGGUGAAUACGUUCCCGGGCCUUGUACACACCGCCCGUCACACCAUGGGAGUGGGUUGCAAAAGAAGUAGGUAGCUUAACCUUCGGGAGGGCGCUUACCACUUUGUGAUUCAUGACUGGGGUGAAGUCGUAACAAGGUAGGCGUAGAUGA
rnacentral:rRNA from 1 species